AUUUGUCCUUGUUACCAGGUUUCUGCUACGCUCCCUUCCAGGGCUGAGAUCUCAGAGGCUUCAACAGCUCACUUUCCCCGACGUUGCUGCAAUAAUCAUUGGCUAGAGCGCUACACCAACCUGAACUUCGCUUCCUGAGACCUAAGAUUCAGCCCC
rnacentral:lncRNA from 10 species